rnacentral:rRNA from 1 species
UCCUACGGGAGGCAGCAGUGAGGAAUAUUGGUCAAUGGCCGAGAGGCUGAACCAGCCAAGUCGCGUGAGGGAAGAAUGUCCUAUGGAUUGUAAACCUCUUUUGUCAGGGAGCAAAGUCACCCACGUGUGGGCGUUGGAGAGUACCUGAAGAAAAAGCAUCGGCUAACUCCGUGCCAGCAGCCGCGGUAAUACGGAGGAUGCGAGCGUUAUCCGGAUUUAUUGGGUUUAAAGGGUGCGUAGGCGGGUUAUCAAGACAGCGGGAAAAACGUGGAGCUCA